rnacentral:rRNA from 1 species
AUUGAACGCUGGCGGCAGGCCUAACACAUGCAAGUCGAACGGUAACAGGAAGAAGCUUGCUUCUUUGCUGACGAGUGGCGGACGGGUGUGUAAUGUCUGGGAAACUGCCUGAUGGAGGGGGAUAACUACUGGAAACGGUAGCUAAUACCGCAUAACGUCGCAAGACCAAAGAGGGGGACCUUCGGGCCUCUUGCCAUCGUAUGUGCCCAGAUGGGAUUAGCUAGUAGGUGGGGUAACGGCUCACCUAGGCGACGUUCCCUAGCUGGUCUGAGAGGAUGACCAGCCACACUGGAACUGAGACACGGUCCAGACUCCUACGGGAGGCAGCAGUGGGGAAUAUUGCACAAUGGGCGCAAGCCUGAUGCAGCCAUGCCGCGUGUAUGAAGAAGGCCUUCGGGUUGUAAAGUACUUUCAGCGGGGAGGAAGGGAGUAAAGUUAAUACCUUUGCUCAUUGACGUUACCCGCAGAAGAAGCACCGGCUAACUCCGUG